UACGAAGGGGGCUAGCGUUGCUCGGAAUCACUGGGCGUAAAGCGCACGUAGGCGGCUUCUUAAGUCAGGGGUGAAAUCCUGGAGCUCAACUCCAGAACUGCCUUUGAUACUGGGAGGCUCGAGUCUGGAAGAGGUGAGUGGAGCUGCGAGUGUAGAGGUGAAAUUCGUAGAUAUUCGCAAGAACACCAGUGGCGAAGGCGGCUCACUGGUCCGGUACUGACGCUGAGGUGCGAAAGCGUGGGGAGCAAACAGG
rnacentral:rRNA from 1 species